rnacentral:rRNA from 2 species
UGGGGAAUAUUGGACAAUGGGCGCAAGCCUGAUCCAGCCAUGCCGCGUGAGUGAUGAAGGCCCUAGGGUUGUAAAGCUCUUUCACCGGUGAAGAUAAUGACGGUAACCGGAGAAGAAGCCCCGGCUAACUUCGUGCCAGCAGCCGCGGUAAUACGAAGGGGGCUAGCGUUGUUCGGAUUUACUGGGCGUAAAGCGCACGUAGGCGGACUAUUAAGUCAGGGGUGAAAUCCCGGGGCUCAACCCCGGAACUGCCUUUGAUACUGGUAGUCUUGAGUGCGAGAGAGGUGAGUGGAAUUCCGAGUGUAGAGGUGAAAUUCGUAGAUAUUCGGAGGAACACCAGUGGCGAAGGCGGCUCACUGGCUCGAUACUGACGCUGAGGUGCGAAAGCGUGGGGAGCAAACAGG